GGAGAGGAGACUCCCAGUGCAGAAGACCCUGAGGCUUCCGACUUCCACGUUGGAGAGAUGGGCUGUGCAAGGGAUGGGAGACCCAAUCUUUGGCACUAGAAGUUCAACAGGGUCUGAGCGCAUCAGAUGGACCACACAAGCCAGCUGCAUAGGUCCCUGUCCUGUCUGGCCUAGCUCAGCUGUCCAUUCUGAUUGAAGUCCAUCUGUCUGAGCAGCCAGCUGUCCAACCAGACCCUCCUCCCUGUCAGCUCUCCCAAUCACUCACCUGUCAGCUUCUCCUUUUCCCUUCCCCGUGUUUCUCAUGAAACCAACUUGUGUUGGCUGCUUGGACUGGAAAUGGACUGAAAGCCGUCUUUCCAAAAUCAGGCUUAUUGAUUCUGUUCGCUUUCUUUUCUUAAAGUUGGGGGUCUCACUCUGUAGCCCUGGCUGGUCUGAAAGUCAAAGAGAGCCAUUUGCUCUGCCUCCUGUGUGCUGGGAUCAAAGGCAUGUGCCACCGCCCUUGGCCUUCAUUCACCUUUUUAUGGACACAGUGGGAUGAAGGGUGACACUCUUAGCUAGGCACAUAGUCCUCUGCUGGAAUGAACCAGAACACCCACAGCACUGUAGCCAACCAUAUUCCUUCUCCCUGCUUCUUGACGGCUAGGAGGAUGCUUUCUUUCUUGCAGUCUUACCUUUCUGCAGCUGAAUCAGAACA
rnacentral:lncRNA from 1 species